GGCGGUUUGGCUCAGUGGUUAGAGCUGAUAUAGGUCUCGUAAACAAGAGGUCGCGGGUUGGAAUCCCGCUAGAGGCUG
rnacentral:tRNA from 1 species